GAUUACAGUGAAGAAAAUAGUAAUUAUGUUCACAUCCCUUCUCUGUCACUAAAGCAGUAAAGCAGUGACAGAGAAUGAUCUUCAUUGUGGCUGUAGGAGUUGCUGUAGGAAUGGCUGUGGGAGUUUCUGUUGGUAUUGCUGUGUGUGUAAUUGCUGCAGUCAUCAUAGUACGCAGGGAAACCAAGUCAACCUGAUGAAAGUAUCACCUAUGCCUUCAUCAACCACUCCAUCGACCAUUCCUAUCAGAGAAAUAACGUCAAUGGUGAAGAUGCCUACCUACCUACCUAUGUCUCAGCUAGGACCUCUUCUGACAGAGGAAGAGAGACAAAGAACCCUGCUAACACCAGCCCUCUCUAUUCUACUGUGUAUCAACCUUAUAGACCCAAGAAAUCAACAUAAAGACUACACUCACUCAAUCAUACAUACAUAAUAUCAAUAUCCAGAUAUAUAUUUUUUGUGCGAUAGCAACCAGCUCAAUUUCGUGAUGGUAACAUACAUUUUCAUUCAAUUAUUUUAAACAUGUUAAGUCAGAUUCCCUGGGCAUACCAAGUGUGACCGAUGGACAGAGACAGCUACAAAUUACAAUGUUUUUACAGUGUUUACAAAUUCAUUGAAAUGUAGUUCUAUCCAAUGAAAUAAAUAUUACAGAAUACUCAAAAGCAGUUGAAAUACAUAUUUCAGAUAUAUUAACCAGAAUUCCAGUGUUUCAGAUUUCUUUAUUGGAUAUAUUCACCAGCAAAUGAAAAAUUUCAGCGCAGCAAUGUGUCACAUUAUGUGUUCAUAUAAAACUUGAUCCGAUAUAG